AUGGCUCAAUCAGAAGUGAAUUCUGUCUGUGUGGCAUCGGAUAGAGCUGGAGAUACUGGAAACCAAAGUGAUGACUCGUCUGAUGGCAGCUUAUUUAAAACCCAGUGUGCUCCUUCACCUACACAAAAGCAAAGACACCCUACUGUGAAACGUGUUACUUUACCUGCAAGUGUUGAAACAGAUUCAUCAAGUGUCUCUUCUAUAGAAAGAACCAAGGCCUCUGACUUUAAAGGCUAUUUUUGAAAGAUUAAAAAAAAAAAAGAAACGGAAAAAGAGGAAAAAGAGAAAAUAUGAGCCAAAAUUAAGACCAAGAGGAAGACCACUGGGAACGAGGAACACUAGAAGGUCGCAAAUAUAUGCAAAACAAAUUAAAGACAAAGGAGCUGUGUUUCCAUUCUUAGAAUCUGAGAGUAGAAGAAAACCUUUACCUUGGAAGAAAAUUUUAACAUAUGAGCAAGCUGUUGCAAGAGGAUUUUUUCACCACAUUGAAAAACUCAAGUAUGAACACCACCUUAAGGAAUGCUUGAAGCAAAUGCAUGCUGGGGAAGAUUUAGAAAAGGAAGACCUUGACAGUCGUAGGCACAAAUACAUGGAUGAUGAUGGUUCACUUUCUCCUAUUGAAGAGCCAUUAACUGAAGAUGAAGCAACAAAUCCUCAGUCUGAAUGUGAUAUCAAGUUGGUUACAGUUGCUUCAUAAUAAGUUUAGAAUUCUCAAGGAAGAGAAACUUGGAACAAGAGAAGAUUAAGAAAGAAUCUACAUUUUCUAAAAAAGCCAAAGAUGUCACACACACAGAGAAAGAGCACAGAAGAACCUUGAAAGGAGAUGAACAUGUGACUAUUGAAGAAGGUAAAGAACAUAGAUAA
rnacentral:lncRNA from 1 species